rnacentral:rRNA from 1 species
UGGGGAAUUUUGGACAAUGGGCGAAAGCCUGAUCCAGCAAUGCCGCGUGUGUGAAGAAGGCCUUCGGGUUGUAAAGCACUUUUGUCCGGAAAGAAAUCCUCUGGGUUAAUACCUCGGGGGGAUGACGGUACCGGAAGAAUAAGCACCGGCUAACUACGUGCCAGCAGCCGCGGUAAUACGUAGGGUGCAAGCGUUAAUCGGAAUUACUGGGCGUAAAGCGUGCGCAGGCGGUUUUGUAAGACGGAUGUGAAAUCCCCGGGCUUAACCUGGGAACUGCAUUCGUGACUGCAGGGCUAGAGUAUGGCAGAGGGGGGUAGAAUUCCACGUGUAGCAGUGAAAUGCGUAGAGAUGUGGAGGAAUACCGAUGGCGAAGGCAGCCCCCUGGGCCAAUACUGACGCUCAUGCACGAAAGCGUGGGGAGCAAACAGGAUUAGAUACCCUGGUAGUCCACGCCCUAAACGAUGUCAACUAGUUGUUGGGGAUUCAUUUCCUUAGUAACGUAGCUAACGCGUGAAGUUGACCGCCUGGGGAGUACGGUCGCAAGAUUAAAACUCAAAUGAAUUGACGGGG